AGCCAUAUAUACAUGCUUGCUAGACUUUGAGCCACACAUUUACUUUUUACUCCUUAUGAGCAUUGAGUGUGGUCAAGCUGUGUAGACCCUUAGGAGCUUGUCAUGUGGUUAGAUCAAGAUUCACUUGCACGUUCACUCACACAUGCUGGAAGUACCAUCCACAUAUAUCCAUCCAUUUCCAUCUCCAGAACCACCCAAAAAUAUUCUACUCCUAAACCGGG
rnacentral:lncRNA from 1 species